AUGGGGGUCAUGUUCUCGUGCCCUGCUGAUGACUAUGACCCCAUGGAGGAAGGCGCCCUCGCGCCGGCGGACGGCGGCGAGCCGACGGUCCUCAGGGCCUUGGGCUCCGGGAAGCUGCUCAUACAGGGCUCGCUCAGCUUCAAGAGGGAGCAGCAGCGGGACGACAGCCCGGGCUCUCUCCAGCUGGAGACCGAGAUCUCCAUCAGGACAGCCGGCGACAUUGCCGGCGCCGAGGCCGAGGCCGAAGCGCCGCCGCCGCUUGUGCCGAGGGAGGUUGCCAGGCUGAGGGCGGGGGCGGAGAGCCCGAGGCACGAUGCUGCGGCGCUGAGGCUGCAGAAGGUGUACAAGAGCUUCCGCACGCGGCGGCAGCUGGCCGACUGCGCCGUGCUGGUGGAGCAGAGCUGGUGGAAGCUGCUGGACUUCGCGCUCCUCAACCGGAGCUCCGUCUCCUUCUUCGACAUCGAGAAGCAGGAGACGGCCGUGUCCAAGUGGUCCAGGGCCAGAUCCCGAGCGGCCAAGGUUGGAAAGGGGCUGUCCAAGGAUGAUAAGGCGCAGAAACUCGCAUUGCAGCAUUGGCUCGAGGCGAUUGACCCUCGCCACCGCUACGGCCACAACCUGCACUACUACUAUGAUUGCUGGCUCCACAGCGAAAGCAAGCAGCCUUUCUUCUACUGGCUUGAUGUUGGAGAAGGCAAAGAGAUCAACCUUGAAGGCAAGUGCUCCCGAUUCAAGCUUCUGAGCCAGUGCAUCAAGUACCUCGGUCCGAAGGAAAGAGAGGACUAUGAGGUCGUGAUUGAGGACAGCAAGUUCUUGUACAAGAAGAAUCGGCAAAUAAUCGACACGUCCUUCGGUCCGAGAGAUGCAAAGUGGAUCUUUGUCCUUAGCACAACUAAGACCUUAAGAAGAAAGGUAAAUUUCAGCAUUCUAGCUUUCUUGCCGGGGGAGCUACUUCUGCUGCUGGGAGGCUGGUUGCUGAAAAUGGAACCCUCAAGGUAUGCAAGCAAUUCUUAUCUGCUUUUACAUCCAGUUUUAUCUUCAGGCAACAUGCUGACGCCAUCUGAACUUCAUUGUUGGCAGGCAAUUUGGCCUCACAGUGGUCACUACCGCCCCACAGAGGAGAACUUCCAGGAGUUCAAAAGCUUCCUCAAUGACAACUUGGUUGAUCUCAGUGAUGUUAAGAUGAGCCCAGCAGAGGAGGAUGAGGAAUUCUGGGGUAGCCUCAAGAGGAUCGCUUCGGAGAACGACAAAUCUGAAGAUGGCCCUGAAGAAACCGGCUCUCUUCAGACAGCUCAAGUCAUUCAAACAACAUCUACGGAGACGGAAGAACGCGAGGAGCCAGUGGUGGCGCGCGAGAAGAUCCUUCAGAGGAUCAACUCCAAGAAGGACAUGAAAUCGUACCAGCUCGGCAAGCAGCUGUCCUUCAAGUGGACGACCGGGGCAGGCCCUCGGAUCGGGUGCGUGCGCGACUACCCUUCGGAGCUCCAAGCGCACGCGCUGGAGCAGAUGAACCUGUCGCCGCGGUGCGACGCCGGGUCCGCGUCCACUCGGUUCGCCUCGCCGCUGAGGCGGAGCUUCAACAGCAUUGUGGCAAGGGGGUGCGAGAACGAGACGUCCACGCCGAGAGGAGCGUUGCGGUCACCUCUGCAGCAUGGACUGGUUGCAGAUGAGAGGUGA
rnacentral:rRNA from 1 species